GGGCUGGGGGUGAGGAGCCUGGCUCUGGGCUGCUGGUUUCCAGGGUGGCCCCCACUGACUGCCCAGGGGAGGCACCAAAGAGCUUUGGGGACUGUGCACCCUAGGGACAGGGACACCGCCCUUGUCUCCCAGAGCUGGCCUGCUGUUUGCCCCACCCUGGAAGCAGGCGGAGGAACUGGCUCCCUGAACAGUGAGAACUGAGGAGAGAGGGAAGGAGCCCCACGCUGGUCACCGCUGAGCGGCCACAGGGCUCUGGGCGCGCUGCAGUCCACAGGCCCCCAUGGGGCUGGGCUGGCCUUCCGGGCAGGGGCUGGCCUGGCUCCUCCUGGACGGGCCUGGGUGUCUUGGCAGGAAUGGUGGUGUCGACAGGCCCCUGACAAGGGGCUUCCUCUGUGUUCCCGGGAGCCGGCCCUGUGUGUGGCAGUGGCUGUAGACAGACGUGAGGACCCGCGUGUCCUGGGUGGCGAGUACAGGAAGUCCCGCUCCGAGGCCUCUGGGGCCCAGAAUGCUGGUUUUGGAGUGGCACAGACCUGGGUGUGAGUCUGGGAUCCGCAUUGACUGAGUCCGUGUGACCCUGAGUUGUCGUUCGGCCCUCCGGAGCUUCCUGUGCCUGAAAAAUGGGCUUUCCAGCUUGCCCUCCAAGAAGACGCCACCUUGGCAGGCGAGAGGGUGCCACCCAGGGCCAGGACCCCCCUCGGACCCCCGAGGUCCCUGCCGGGAAGAACUCUGUGCCACCAACUUUGUUUAUGGAUCAAGAAUGGCUGAGAACUGAACCCAGAUGUGUCAGUCAGCUUGUCUUCACUGUGACCAAAACACCUUACAAGAACAACCAGGCUAUUCAUUUCUGGAACUUUCAAAACCAGAGCAGAACAUCCAUUUCCAUCUUCAUCAGAAGCCCCUGCCCGCAUCCUUUGCAGACAAUCCUUCAGAAGACACAGCAAUCCAUGUGACUUUCUCAGACUGUCCAUCUUCAGGUCAUGCUGCAGGUCCCAGAAGCACUCAUAGAAAACUCUGCCCAGGGGCAUGGAGGUGAGUGGUGGUCACAUUUUAGGGAUGUUGGUCCCUACCUUCCCUGAGCCUCCCUGAACCUGUGAAGAUACCCUAGAAUAGGAGACCCUUCAUCUUGCCACCAGGUUUACAUCCUGAAGUCCCCAGAGCCAACACACCUGGCAGCCUCCCAUGGACACUCGGAACUGUUGGUGGCCUCUUUCCUUCCCUCUGCUCUGCAGGUCCAGCCCCAGGGUUGGCCUUUGUCUCAGUAUCCCACCACUUCCUCCCUGUCUGGCAAGGUCCCGGAUGUCCUGACAGCUCCUGCCAGCCACCUCCCGGGUGGGAGUUAGGGGGGUGCCUGUGGAACAGGGGUUUCUGUUGAAUCCCCUCUCCUCUCCUUCCACCCCACCUUCAGUCGGGUUGUGGGAGAUGCGGAGAAAGUUCAGAACAAAGAUGCCAUUUGCAGACUUCUUGGAUGUGAGGACCCCCUGGAGCCAACAUCCUGUCUGUACUUUCAGGCUUUACCAUCCCCUGUGGAAACGCCACAGCGAGUGUUCCCCCAAUACCGUGGGCCACAUCAGUGCUGUGUAGGGAAUGUCCUGGGAGUCCUGAGAGCUGGUGGGAAAGUGCUGCCAGGCACCCCUCUGAGGGGACAUUUCCCUGGGGGAGCACUCUCUGAGGGAGCACCUCCCAGCCUCACCCAACCCUCAUGUGAAGGGGGAGGAAUUGUGAGCCUCAGAAGUUUAGGAAGGAUGUGGAUGGUCAGGGCAUACUGUUGGCCAGCUGACCAGGAGAAGCAGGUGACAUUGGAGGAAGCCUGGGAUGCCAUCGAGGACUAUCAUUUUGGGCUAAAAUAAAAACAGAUUCUUUGGGGUGCCACUGAGCCUGGGCCAACCUGAGUGUUUCCUUGGACUUUUCCAAUUGAGUAUCAUCUGCAGAUGAUGGAGGAACGACCUCUUAAGGAGAACCCAAGGUGUGACAGCUCGUCUAUGAAAGAGGAUACAUCUUAGGAAGCUAAAAACCAUGUGAAAAAACGUUCAUUCCUCAUGAACAUGGCCCCCUCUUGUUGUGGUUGGGGAAACUGAGGUGCAGAGAGGUGAAUGGACGGCCUGAACCUUCUCCAGCCAGGAGAUGACACCCAAGUGACAGCCCAAGGUCUAAGUGGCUCCAUGUCCUUCCCAAACAGGCUUCCCAAGAGACUUUGGAAGUUCUUCAAGUGAGCAUCCGGUGGUCCCUUUACCACACUUCUGAGUGAGCACUCAAGACACCUUAGGUGGCCACCUCAGGCAGCACGCAGGAGGCUAAAUACCCCAAUUCUGUCACCUGUUGUUUUCCAAAGUCCCUGCACGGACAUUUCUUGGGCUCCAGGUCUGACAUCUCCUGGUUUGUUUACUGAUGAGGGAAUAAGGAGGUGAUGACGGACCUUAUUAGCCAUGCGCCCUCAUGACUGUGAGUCAACCCAGGCAGGCACGCGCUGGUCCCCGAGGGUGGAGACACAAUGCGGGCUGUGCCUCUGGGGAGUUAUUGCCUGUGUCAGCGCGACAACAUGGUGGGAGCCAUGUUACGUACACAGAUGUCCAAUGUACUUCUAGGUCACAGCACAGUCUCUGUGGCUAGGUGGGUAGGAUGCUCUAUGGGUGGCCUCCCUGUACCUGGGGAAUGUUCUUAGCCAGGGUCAGGGUGGCAUGGACUGAUGUCCCCAGGUCCUACCUGCUGCUAGUCCUUCUUGCCUCUGGCUCUCACAGUCGUCUUCUGAUGAGCCCAUCUUCUCUACAGAAGCCUCAUGCUUCUGACUGGGCAGUGGCUGUUCAUCCAUCCAUCAGUCCAUCCAUCCACCUACCCACCAGCAUUCACUAUCUACUCUCCAUUCCCUCCAGAGUAAGGUCCAGACUUCUGGUAUGAUCAUUUAGGAUGAUCUGCUAUCAGCAGUAGGAGGCCUCAAAUCACUCGAGUUUAGGCCAUAAAGAUGUUUGUCAUCUCACCGUCCAGAAGUGUGGAGCAGGGACCUCCAGCCAGGAUGGCAGAGCUCCUGCUUCACUUGUCCCCCAUCCCAUCAUUCUGUCUGAUCCUGCUCAUGGGCUUCAUCCUCAAGCUGGAGACACCACGGCCAGAGACAGACACACACUGUCCCAAAGAAGAGGGAGCUUCUCUUCCUCUGCCUCCUUCCUGUGACAGUGGGGUGGCACAUGGGCUUGGGAUGUGCAUUUUCUAGUCCUAGGAGCUGAUCAUGAAAUGCGACUCCAAACUCACCCGGCUGUCAGGUUGGGCCCAGCCAGUGGCAAAAGAUAAACAACCACUUUCAGCAUGUUCCUGGAGCCCAGUGAGCAGUCAGCGGGACACACUCAGCCCAACAGGCCCCCACCACAAGGACAGCACUGAGUAGCCCUUCUCCCAGAGCUUGGCCUCAGCCAUGUGCUGACCUCUCAGCCCUCCUCCCAUCACCGCAGCCCCUCCCAGGCUGUCCUCCUCGGGUCCCCCAGUGGUGUUCUCCCUGGCUACCCCGGGUUCACGUUUCCUUUUCCCUGGGAAGGAAGACAGUCAGCAUAAGGGCUAACCUUGUGUCACACGUGACACCAAAGCUGGGGCUGCCGGAGCUGCCAGAAGCUCCCCUCUCCACUCUCACUCCCGGGGCCUGGGACUGGGCGGACUCAGGUCCCACCCGGAAUACCUCCUCUGCCCCUGCUGACCAGGACCUGAGCCCAGAGGACCCGAGCUCCAGCGGAGGCUAUUGCAGCAGCUUAUGUCCACCCACCCUGCCUCAGUUGUAUUUCAAAAGUAGAAAACAGGCUCCAUCAUAGACGUUUUCCACAAGUGAAGUCGAGGGAGCAGCCAGGGCCCUGCUGGGGCAGCAGGGGACUGCUCGAUUUUGAGCAAGCCCUGCUCAGGCCCACAGCCCCACUCAUCCUACAAACUCUGUUUCGGAAAAUGACAGAGGGCAGAGCAUCAGUUAGGCGUUCACUCAACAAACUUCACUGAGCACCUACUGUGUGCUGCAAACUAUGCUAGGUGCUGGGUAUGGGGAACUGGGUGAGGGAGGGUCUAGCGGUGGGAAGGCACAUUAGUCAUGGGCUCGGACAGGCUGCCCCUCAGCAACCAAGUGACGCAUCAAGCUGUAUGUUCCCUCUGAGCCUCAGUUUCUGGUCUGUGAGACAGGAGCAAUAAAUAGUACCUAGCACAGAUCACGAGGAUCCGAAGAGAUAAAGUCUGUGUGAAGCGUUUAAGCAGUAGUUAGGAAAUGACAGAUCACAUGACGACGAUGAAAAAGUUCCCCUGUGGGAGGCCAACCUUACACGUGACUGGGUUACACUCCCCAGUUGGUCGCAGAAAUGUGGCAGAGCUUUCCCCACCCUUCUUAGGUUUGAGGGUCGGAGUCUCGUGCAUGGGUGUGUCUUGCUACAGCCCCAUGGGUGGAGCUACACUCACCUGUUCCUUUGUAAUAUAACCUAAUAUAACCCCUUGCCCUGUUUAGGAUAGAAUCUUCCAUGGAAGUGCCUUGUGUGUGUCCCCUUCUCUUACUGUGCCCUUGGGUGUGGCCUACCCAGGUGUCCGUCAACCUGCUGACAGUGGACAUCAUGAAGAUACUGAGCCCCCUGAAACCUGACUCCCUGCCUCAUUUGAAUAGCUUCUCCUCAAUAAAAGGGUCAGCGCGUGCUCUCACUCUCGCUCUCUCUCUUUCUGCGGACCCUUAAGGUCAGAGGAGCCGUCACAGCGACCCCAAAGAAAAAGG